rnacentral:rRNA from 1 species
AGCGAACGUUUGCGGCGGGCCUAACACAUGCAAGUCGAACGAGAAUCUCUUCGGAGAGGAAAGUGGCGCACGGGUGCGUAACACGUGGAUAACCAACCCCNGCUGUCGGGAUAACGCUGGGAAACUGGCGCUAAUACCGGGUGUGUCCGAGGUGUCAUCAGGCGCUUCGGAGAAAGACACGCAAGGGUCGCCAGGGGACGGGUCCGCGUCCCAUCAGCUAGUUGGUGAGGUAAUGGCUCACCAAGGCAAAGACGGGUAGCUGGUCUGAGAGGAUGAUCAGCCACACUGGAACUGAGACACGGUCCAGACUCCUACGGGAGGCAGCUGUGGGGAAUAUUGCGCAAUGGGCGGAAGCCUGACGCAGCCACGCCGCGUGAGCGAUGAAGGUCUUAGGAUCGUAAAGCUCUGUGGAGGGAGAAGAAGAAAGCCGGUGAAGAGCCGGCCUUGACGGUAUCCCUUUAGCAAGCACCGGCUAACUCCGUGCCAGCAGCCGCGGUAAUACGGAGGGUGCAAACGUUGCUCGGAAUCAUUGGGCGUAAAGCGCGCGUAGGCGGCGAGGCAAGUUGGAUGUGAAAGCCCCUGGGCUCAACCCAGGAAGUGCAUCCAAAAUCUGCCUUGCUUGAAUCUCGGAGGGGGCUCAGGGAAUUCCCGGUGUAGAGUGAAAUUCGUAGAUAUCGGGAGGAACACCAGUGGCGAAGGC